UACAGAGGGGGCAAGCGUUAUUCGGAAUUAUUGGGCGUAAAGGGCGCGUAGGCGGCUUUGCAAGUGGCGGGUGAAAUCCCUCGGCUUAACCGAGGAACUGCCUGCCAGACUGUGAGGCUUGAGACCGGGAGAGGUGAGUGGAAUUCCCAGUGUAGCGGUGAAAUGCGUAGAUAUUGGGAGGAACACCAGUGGCGAAGGCGGCUCACUGGACCGGUACUGACGCUGAGGCGCGAAAGCGUGGGGAGCAAACAGG
rnacentral:rRNA from 1 species